rnacentral:rRNA from 1 species
GUCCCGUAACGAGCGCAACCCUUGUCCUUAGUUACCAGGCACGGUUAUGGUGGGCACUCUAAGGAGACUGCCGGUGACAAACCGGAGGAAGGUGGGGAUGACGUCAAGUCAUCAUGGCCCUUACGGCCUGGGCUACACACGUGCUACAAUGGUCGGUACAAAGGGUUGCCAAGCCGCGAGGUGGAGCUAAUCCCAUAAAACCGAUCGUAGUCCGGAUCGCAGUCUGCAACUCGACUGCGUGAAGUCGGAAUCGCUAGUAAUCGUGAAUCAGAAUGUCACGGUGAAUACGUUCCCGGGCCUU